AUUGAACGCUGGCGGCAGGCCUAACACAUGCAAGUCGAACGAGUGGCGGACGGGUGAGUACUGUCUGGGACACUGCCUGAUGGAGGGGGAUAACUCCUGGAAACGGUAGCUAAUACCGCAUACCAUCAGAUUCGCUCAGCUGGGAUUAGCUAUUUGGUGGGGUAACGGCGCACCAAGUCGACGAUCCCUAGCUGGUCUGAGAGGAUGACCAGCCACACUGGAACUGAGACACGGUCCAGACUCCUAAGGGAGGCAGCAGUGGGGAAUAUUGCACAAUGGGAGGAAGCCUGAUGCAGCCAGGCCGCGUGUAUGAAGAAGGCCUUCGGGUUGUAAAGUACUUUCAGCGGGGAUGCGUUACCCGCAGAAAAAGCACCGGCUAACUCCGUGCCAGCAGCCGCGGUAAUAC
rnacentral:rRNA from 1 species